rnacentral:lncRNA from 1 species
CAGCGCACCAUGUGGCGGCGCCGCGCGCGGAGCCGGAGGGCACCGGCGUCCGGCGCGCUCCCUACCUACUGGCCCUGGCUGUGCGCGGCCGCGCAGGUGGCAGCGCUGGCGGCCUGGCUGCUCGGCAGGCGGAACUUGUAGGAACGCGGGGCUUCUUGGUGGGGCCGGAGCCGAGACCCAGCCGGAGCGAGCAACAGGUUGGUGAAAACCCUGUGUCCUGGAGAAAGCUGGUUCCUGUUUUCCCAAGGGGGAGCCCAGAGCUUGAAAGGCCACAGUUGGCACUUCGAGAAGGAAGUGGAGAAUAAACACAGCGCCUGGAGCAAUAGUAGCAACGAGGAACGGGACUGGGGAAGCCCUCUGGAUGUCCAGCUGCAGACACAAGACACCCCAACACUAUUUACAUACAGCUCUCUAUAUAUAAAAAAAGAAAAUAUGAAUAUUACUACUCAGUGCAUGCCUUGUCGAGGACGUGGUCCCCUCCCUUUUCUGCACCUUCCGAUGUGAACUCUGAUGCUCUUUCAUGUCUGGGGGCACUGGAAGACAGAUGCUUACUGUGUACCUAGAAAAUUUGCAAAGACUGGUGGGAGUUAGCCUCAGAGGCGACCAACUGCCUGGGAAGGGAUGCUGGUGGAGGAAGAGGUGAAAUGGCAAAAGGCAAAAUAGAAAAAAAAAGUUAGGAGGACCAGGGGCCGAUGUCGUAGGGGCAGAGCCCGGGGACACCUCCAUUUCUGUCUUCACAAAUCCUAGCCUCUCUCUGUCUGCCUAGAUAGAUGGCUAGUCCCACUGUCACAUCAAGACAAAAGGCAUUUCUUUUCCCCGACCAAUCUGGUGUCUCUGGUGCUUCACUUAAAUCUUGCUGGUGCUAAGCGUGUUCUUGCUGGUGCUGCCAUGGUGUUCUGUUGCCAGACCCGCAAGGCCAGGGAACGAGAGAGAUGUCUAUUUUGCUGUUUCGGAUUCUAUUUUAAAAGGGAUCAGUCACAAAAGUGCCACUUGAGAGUCUUUUUCUUUGCGUGGGGAUGAAUAUCCAGAGGUGUUUUGGAGCAAACCUUGGGGUCUGGGAGGGAGGAGGUGGACGCUGAUGGCACCGAGUGGCUUGCUGGUCACGAGGCAGAAAGCUGACCUCACAUGCGGCUUUUUUGCUGUCUCUUCCACCCCCACAAAAAGUAUCCUGGGAGUUCAGUCCACAGCCUCCCCCACACCCCAAGGGGAUUUCAGGGCUUAGGUUUUAUGGAUUAAAGAGCCAAGAAACAGCUAAGUUCUGGUCAAGGGUGAUUUAUAAGCCAGGGACGUUUGGGG